CAUAGGACAUCAACAGACGGGGUGGAUACUCAAACGAAACACCAAUAAUGAUGGCAUUGAAGAGAGAACACUAUGAUAUUUAUCAUCUCCUUGUAUCUGAGGGCGCAGAUCUGACCCUUACUGAUGAAGACAACACUGACUGCCUGAUGUUGGCAUGUGAAGGAGGUAACAUAUCUAUUGUGAAACACAUCCUAUCAAUGAAAACAUGGGACAUCAACAGACGGGGUGGAUACUCAAUCGAAACACCAAUAAUGAUGGCAUUGAAAAGAGAACACUAUGAUAUUUAUCAUCUUCUUGUAUCUGAGGGUGCAGAUCUGACACUUAAUGAUAGAGACGACACUGACUGCCUGAUGUUGGCAUGUGAAAGAGGUAACAUAUCUAUUGUGAAACACAUCCUAUCAAUGAAAACAUGUGGUAUCAACAGACGGGAUGGAUACUCAAA